AUCGAACGCUGCACUGAGGUCUAGCAGGACAAGCACAGAGAUGAGUCCACUGUCAGAGGCCAUAAGAAGAUCAUUUGUAACCUUCACUAAAGCUGUUUCUGUGCUGUGCUGAGCUCUGAAACCUGACUGAAACUCUUCAAAUAAACCAUUCCUCUGCAGAUGAUCUGUUAGCUGACAAUAUAUUGUUGUUGUUUCUUUCUAACUGUAGCAUUCUCAGAAAAACGUUUUUUAACAUAUUGUUUUUGUUUCUUUCUGAAUUCAUCAUUUUCACAGUAAUGUCUUCUAAUAUAUUGCUGUUGUUUCUGUCUGAAUUCAUCAUUUUCACAGUAACGUCUUCUAAUAUAUUGCUGUUGUUUCUGUCUGAAUUCAUCAUUUUCACAGUAACGUCUUUUCAUAUACUGUUGUUGUUUUUGUCUAACUUCAGGAUUGUUUUUAUAUGUCUCGCUUGUGCAAGAUUUUUUCUUUUCUUUGUAAUCUUUAUUUGAAGCAUACUUUUGUCGUUCUUUCCUUUUUUGGUUUUCUUUUCUCUGAUUUCUGGGUUUCUCUGAUGCCAUUAAUCUUCUUUUCCUUUUUUGCCUUUGUUGUUUAUUAACUUUUUUCACUUUUUGUAAAACUAUAUCAGAAAGGUCACAGGCAGCAACAUUUGUUAUGGCAGCAUUUGAUUGACAUGAAAAAGCAUCACUUGAUGGAAGGAAACUUAAUUCACUGCAUAGUUCUUCAGUUGGUAUAUUAGGAGGUUCAUUCUGAUCUUCAUAUGAUGUGAACUGAGUCAUGUGGACUUCUUUUUGUUUCACCAGUGGCGUACAAAUGGACAUUUGACAAAAGAUAUUUUCAGUCGGAUCAGUGGUUGUGUUUCUCCUUGGAGUAGAGGGGUUUGCUUCAUCAACAGUUGUAUCAGAGUGAGUAGGUGCCACAGCAGUGGCAGCUGUUGGUCUGCAGACUGUGUCUGUGAUAGUAUCACUCAGGUUGACUGUGCUCAUACUGUAGAACUGCACAGGCUUCAAUUCAUAGUUACAAGAGGGUGAUAUCUCCAUCAUUUCAUAAGAAUCUUGGAGCCUCUUAAUCAUGUCACUGAGGAGUGUGAAUUUCAGCAUCACAGCUGUACCACGAUUACGUGACUGUAGUAGUAGAGGAAGACCAAUGGGUGUUCUGGGGUGUGGGUCAAAGAAACCAUAUAUGCCUGAUGUGGAUCUGAACACUGCGAUACACAAUCCACUCAUAAUCAGUAAGGCAUACUGCACAUCUGACAACAGGCAGCUCAGUCCUGCUUCUAAGCUCAGAAAGGUAUCUACUGCCUCCUCUGGAGGUUCUUCAAAUGUCCCAUACCGGGAAGGCUGUGUCAUGUUGACAUGAUACAUAGACCUGCGAGCAUCAACUUUGUCUGGCAGCUCAUCGGUUGCCAAAUGAAUAUUUUUAGGAAAUCUUUUCUUGGCCUCUUUGUACAUCACAUCACCUUUAUCCAAGACCAGAUUAAGGUCAGCUGUAGUCAUGUUUUCAUUCUCAU
ensembl:lncRNA